GAAGCUAGGCGGGUCGCUUUCGCAACUAGGACUCCAAUGUUCCCAGCGGGAGCGGAGCUCUCACCGCGGCAGCCCCCUGGCUCUCCCUCGGCGCCUUAGAGCAAAGGCGGCUGUGGAUCGCGCUGCCCUUCGCCUGCGGCCUCGGAACCAUGAACUUGUAUUCCGGACGCCGCGCUCCUGCCACAGUGCUGGGCUAAAGAGCUCUAAGGAAUUCGGGAUCCGGGCACACUUCGCGAUCUCACGCGGCAACCUGUCUGCACCGCGCAUUCCUGCCCAGAUGGACCUUGUUUCCCCUGGGCUAGCCUGUGGGCUCUUGGGCAGCUCCUGGGCGGGGACGAGGGAAUGCGGUCUGGGGGCUAGUUUCGAGGCUCCGAGCGCAGCCAGAAAACAAAGGGAGCCUAGGGCUGAGAGGCUCUGCGGAGUCCCCGCCCGCCCUGCAGAUUAGCAGGCGCGUCGCGUCGGGGCUUCCCGGCCAGCUCUGCUCUGGGGAAUUAGAACGAACUCUAGCGGCCGUUUGCAACUCGGCUCUGGGCGCGAGGGCAUCAACAGGUGGCCGUGUGCAGCGGAGAGGCCAGUGGCGAGGACCCGGACUGGGGGUCCGGCUGCCAUGCUGUGGGAAGCCCAAGUUUCAUGGAGAGGCCACAUGGAGCGAAAACCAAGCUCAUUAAAAGGAUGGGAAGAGAAUUGAAAAGUUAUAACUUUCUCCGAGUCAGAGCUAUUUUGUCUAUACCUGCACAUCAUUUAAAACCAUCUCAUGGCCAAAUAUGCUACUAGCGUAAGGACACAGCAAGAAGAUGGCCAGGAAGAGAGCUGUCACCCAAACCUGAUCAUGCUAGCACCCUGAUCUCAGACUUGCAAGCCUCCAAAACUGUGAGAAAUAAAUGUCUCUUGUUUAAGCCACCCAGUCUCUGGUUAUUUGUUCUAUAGCAGCCUUACCUGGCUAAGACAGUUCAAGGAACUUGAAAUUCUGUAAAUACCAACUAACUCAUUUCCCUGGCUCCAAUUUUUACCUCUACUAUUCAUGCUGUCACCAAAACACAGAUCUUGCUUGGUCACCUCCUUGCUUACAAUCUUUUAUUGCUUUCUACUUCUUUGGGGUGGCAGGUGUGAUCUUGCGUAAACUUGUCCAAACCAGCAUUCCCAGCCCAGUCUUCUGCCUCUUCUCAUCUUGUCCUCUACAACUUAACAUUGCUGGAUUCCUUGUCACUCCCUACAUUUUCCAUGGUCUUUUCCAUCUUUGUAAAUGGUGCACCCUGUACCUGGAAUGGCUUCCUUCUUCCUCAAG